rnacentral:lncRNA from 1 species
UUCAAGCCCACAGUCCUUUGAGAAGCCUGUGACCCCAGAUAAAUAUGAAAGAGAAGUUUGUAAUAAUAUGGUAUUGAUUUCAUUAUGAUGUGUUUACGAUACUUCACAUGUGAUGUGUGACAAUUUUUUCCAUGGCUACUUCAAUAAAUUUGUAAUCUAUAAAAAUGUCAUUUUUCCCCAUUAUGAAUCUAGAGUAAAAUAAGGGUCUACCAGGCAACAAUGCUCUUCCAGGAAAAGAAACAUAGGAGAUGGAUAAUCCUAUUUUAUUGUGACAACGGAUAAUAUUUUUGACAGAUACUGGGUUAAGCACCUUACAUGUGAUUAUUCCUUCUCAGUAUUAUGAAACUGAAACAAUUAUUAUAUUUAUUCACACAAGGAAAGUAAGCCUUGGAGAAGUGAAAUAGCUCAUACAAUUUCACACAACAAUCAGUGUGAUUCACACCUAAGUCAGUGCUCUUAACCAUGCCCCUAAGUUCCCUUCCCCAGUCUAAGAAGUCAAGAAUUUAUUUUGGAAGCCUCAGUCACUUUGUGUUUCUCUGAAACAUUAGAUCUACAGUCGUGGGAAGAGUGGAGCUUUCCCAGCAAAGUGCCUUGGAAGAGAGAAAGAGUGCCAGCCACACUAUGUAGAGGCAGAAAGAAUCACUGCUUGCUGCCAGACACAGCCAGCCUCCCUCACCUUUAGAAACCCUUUUGAACCUCAGGGAGGAGGACCUAUCAGUGUCCACACAUUUGGUGAUCUACCUGGAAGCGUCAAGACCGACCAGACACUUCAGCAGCCAGAAAAGCAGAUUUACUGCAGCCAUUCUUUCCUGGGCUAUUUAUAGAGACCACGAUUGUUGUCAUCAAAAGUAAGUUUGAAAUCAGACUCUCUUUUGAAUCUCUGUGGGCAUCUUUGAAGCUCUCCUGUGAAUCUCUUUUGGGGUGGCUUUUCCCCUCCUGCUCUUGUAACGCAUCAGGGCCUGGAGGUGGUGCAGGAAUGUCUUUUGCUCCUACUGUCCCUUCCAGAACAUUUUAUUUCCUUUCCAAGCCCUACCCCUCGUGUGUUAAUCUCAUGUCAACAAAUGACACUCAGAUGUAGCCCAUAUACCAAUCUAUCUCCUAACUAAAGUCAGCUUUUUCCUUGAAGAUGUUAAAUCCUGGCUUACUGUCCAUCUCUUCCACAGUACUCCUAUCAUAACUGGGUGUGAUUUCAGUAAUCAUAUAGGUUAUUUUUCUAAACCCCAACAUUUCCAUUUCCUUAACUGUUCUCCUCAAAUGAUAUUUUUUUCCUCUAAACCGUCUCUGACAUUCAUUCCAAUGACUGAAAUCACUCCAUAAUCUUAAAUGUAAGCAUCCUAAUCUCUGAAAGUAUCUGUUAUCUUUUCUGCUCAUUCCUACUAUUGUUCUGACUUAGUGUUUCAACCCCCUUUGAGAAUGGAAUCCAUUGAUUCUACCAGCUUUUUACUUAUCC